rnacentral:rRNA from 1 species
GCUGGCGGCGUGCUUACACAUGCAAGUCGAGCGGAAAGGCCCUUCGGGGUACUCGAGCGGCGAACGGGUGAGUAACACGUGAGCAACCUGCCCCUGGCUCUGGGAUAGCCUCCGGAAACGGGGAUUAAUACCGGACAUGACUUCCUGCCGCAUGGCGGGGGGUGGAAAGUUUUUCGGCCAGGGUGGGGCUCGCGGCCUAUCAGCUUGUUGGGGGGGUGACGGCCCACCAAGGCGACGACGGGUAGCCGGCCUGAGAGGGCGACCGGCCACGCUGGGACUGAGACACGGCCCAGACUCCUACGGGAGGCAGCAGUGGGGAAUAUUGCGCAAUGGGGGGAACCCUGACGCAGCGACGCCGCGUGCGGGAUGAAGGCCUUCGGGUCGUAAACCGCUUUCACCACGGACGAAGGGAGACUGACGGUACCUGCGGAAGAAGCGCCGGCUAACUACGUGCCAGCAGCCGCGGUAAUACAUAUGGCGCGAGCGUUGUCCGGAAUUAUUGGGCGUAAAGAGCUCGUAUGCGGGCGGUUGCGUCUGCUGUGAAAUC